rnacentral:lncRNA from 1 species
UGUGUGGCCCACAUGUCAUAGGCUUAUAUAUUUUUAUCUAAUUUAUCUUUUAUCUAACCAUAUGGCCUAUACACUACACCUAACCACUAAUUAGCCUAACUACUACUAAUUAGCUACUAACCUAAACAGGGCUGGCCUCAUCCAGAGAUCUAGCCGGCCACACGCACAUGGCCUCACACACGCAUGCUGCACCUACACACACGGCACACUACACAGGGCUGGCCAGAGGCACACAGCCGUGGCAUAGCCGGCCACACACACCACACACAUACAACCCCCAUACACACCCAUAACACACACGCACACUCACCCCAUAGUACACUCGACAAUCAUCGAACCGUGGUGGUCGGGGAUGCGCGCCACGGCGAGAUCCUGCCUCCCCUAUGUACGGAGACAGGAGAAGGCCUUUGGUGGGCUGGGCCUGAGUACUAUUGCAAUAGGCUUAAGUGCACAGUAGGUAUAGUAUAUUAUCCCUUUUUCUUCUUUGUAUUAUUUUUCACCACUAUUUUGCAUUUAUAUUAUGCAGUAAAUUAUUAUUUUUAUCAAUGAAACUUUGCUCAUAAAUCUUAGUCAACAAUACAAGGUUGCACAAAAAGUUUGAGGCCAAAUGGAACUGUUUAAAUUUACAUUUGAAUUUAAGUUUGUUUAUUUAACCCUGCUAGUCCACUAAAAUAUUUUUAGGGGCAAUUUUAGAAGUCAUUUGAUGUUGGUUCCUGCAUGCUAAUUACUUAAUGAAUAUUUGCAACCCAACAAACAUUUUUGUUUUACCGUUUGAAGAAAUAAUAAUUUGACUUGUAAUUAAAAUUUGAAUUUGACUUGAUUUUUGGGCAAGUGGCAAUUUGCACAGUAAUCAUGAUGACAUGGUCACCAUUAGGGGGGAGAUUACUGUAGCAUGAUUCUCGGGGUGUUACAAAUCUCCUCCACUACAAGAAAUCUCGUCCCGAGAUUUAAGAGGUCCACUACAAGAAAUCUCGUCCCGAGAUUUAAGAGGUAGAGUUAAGGGGGGGAAUCGGUUAUGAAAUUCUAAUGGAUCUUCUCAUUCUUGGUUGCUCUUCUCAAAUAGGUCGACCCAUUACUUUGAUGUCUUCAUUUUUCUGCUUCAGGUCAUCAUGAUGAAGUCGUCAUCCUUUCUUCGAAGUCUUCAUCGUACUUACGUAUAGGUAAGGGGAAGCUUGGCAAUGAUAGGAUGAUAUAAGGGGUAAUCAUAUGGGAUUAUCCCAUUAAUGAACUCAUGAGUAUCUCUCGAGUUGACCAAAUGAAACACAUCGAGAGCAACAAGGUACAAUAAGAAGUUUCAAGCGGAUAGACAAUCGUCCAAUGUGUGAAAGAGUGUGAAAAGGGGUUCAGAGCAACGAGAAUAAGUAUUGCAUCUGUUACCAGAAUAGAUCACCAGUAAUGUGGCUCGUGAAUUACAUACGAAGCCAAGCGUGAGGAUUAAAUUUUGAAACAGGGGUGUAUCGGAGAGUCAGGUUUCGAUCAUAUGGAACUAUGGGUUAUGGGCCUACCAUGUAGUUAAAAGUAGGAAGGGCGUUGACAUCUUGCACGGUCAUGAUAGCAAGACAUGUCAUAGGCUAGCCUAUCAGUUAUGUCAGCAAAAAUGUCGGUAACAAGGGCGAGGGACAAAGAGAACCAUUUUCCUGCUCGUUGAAUGAGGUGGACCAUUAGACAAAGUUCUCGUCCAUCGGUGGCUACCGGAAUGUCGUCAACAAUAGUAACAAGGUCUUGCUUGAUAGAAUUGUACAUCGAGGUGUUUACAUAAGCAGGAGAAUAUUACUGCUUAAAUCAUAUAAACCACGAGAAAGGUUAAACAAGACAAUGGAAAGGAAAAUGUGAUCAUCAGAUUAAAUAGAACAAUGAAAAGGAAAAUGUGUUUAAGCACAUAUUUCAGGGGUAUAUCCUUCCCAAGGACAAGCAGAGCAUGAUAUCCAUGACAUGAUAGAAGGUAGAAAACCAUUUAGGUAAGGGGAGAAAAAUUUCCUGACAUUACCCAUACAACGGUGUUUGGAUAAUUAAUAAGGAAAAUUUAGGAUCGUGCUUCAAGUGUUCUUAUUGAUGAUAGGACUACCACAUACAUGCUUCGAGAUAGCAUUGACAUGGUCCUCAAGCAAAGGUCGAACUUCGGAUACACAAAGGAUCCCUCGGGAUAAACUUAUUAAACAAGGCAUUCAAUUUCCUCAUGAAAAAAAUGGUUAACCUUGUUAAAAAGGAAACUAUAACACUAGGUCCUCUGGUCAGGUGUGCUAGGCAUGACAUCACCUUACCGGGUCAUAUAAAGACAAUUGUUAUAACUCUUGGAAAUAUGUCCCAAUCAUCAUCUCUGACAGAGAUUUAGAUCUGAUUGGUGUCAGGAUGCCUCAGAGUCAGGAUGCCUGACAAGAGAAAGGUGCGACACAAAUUGUCGAGAUGACAUUGCAAGAUUCUCGGGGAAAUGAACUAUGGAAGUGAGUUCCGAAACAAGAGUUGUAUCCAAGGAGAGGAAGAGGAUGUGGCUGAUGGACUCAACAAAAAUUAUCGAGAUUAACAAAAGAUGGAUUUCCACAAUUAUGUGAAUGAUACGUCCCCAACGUAUCUAUAAUUUUUGAUUGUUCCAUGCUAUUAUAUUAUCAAACUUGGAUGUUUUAUAUGCAUUUAUAUGCUAUUUUAUAUGAUUUUUUGGACUAACCUAUUAACCUAGAGCCCAGUGCCAGUUUCUGUUUUUUUCUUGUUUUAGAGUAUCGCGGAAAAGGAAAAUCAAACGGAGUCCAAUUGACCUGAAACUUCACGGAACUUAUUUUCGAAGGAAACCAAACCGGGAGACUUGGAGUCCACGUAAGGGAAGAAACGAGGAAGCCACGAGGCAGGGGGUGCGCCCACCGACCCUGGGCGCGCCCUCCACCCUCGUGGGCCCCUCAUGGCUCCCCUGACGUACUUCUUCCGCCUAUAUAUCUCCAUAUACCCUAAAACGAUCGGGGAUCACAAUAGAUCGGGAGUUCCACCACCAGAAGCCUCCGUAGCCACCGAAAACCAAUCUAGACCCGUUCUGGCACCCUGCCUGUAACAUCCCAAAUUUUCAAUUUGGAAUGUUAUACAUAGAUCAUUCUUGCAUAUCAUAUUUUAUUGCAUUUCGUCUCGUGAUCCUCGAAAUCCUAAGCAACUCAAGGACCCUUAAGAGAGUUGGGGAUUUCCCAGAUUUCAUAUUUGAUUUUUAUCAAAUAUUGAAACAAGGACUUUUGGUUUUAAUUAUUUUUCUCUCCGAAAAUAUUUCAUAUUAAAAUAUAUGAGAGGAGAUAAUAUGACUUCUCCAAAAUAAUUGAAAUAUUGGAGGAAAAUAUUGAAAUCAAAUAUUUGAUUUUAUUUGCAUUAGAAAAAUUGCACGUUUUCAAAAUUGCACUUUAGGGCCAAGAAAAUGUUCAUCUCGUUCUAAAUAUUUUAUUUAGACGGAAAAAUUUUGUUUUGGCAUUUUUAGAUUUUUAUUUUAUUUUCUAGGAUUUUUCUUAGUUCCGGCGGAAAUAUAUUAUUUAAAAAAAGGUUUCCGGACCCAGCUGGGCCGAAGCCCAGCCGGCCCGUCCCGGCCGUCUCCCUUGCGCGCGUGCCGCUGUGGGUAACUCGGACGCCCAGGGGAGUCCGAGCCGGACUCCUCCCCGGGCGCCCCCUCGCCCAAGCAAGCCGCCGCCCCCGCCCCUUUUAAAGGCCGCCGCCGAGCCCCGCCACCACCACCACCCCGCCACCACGCAGCCCGCUCCCGAGCCGCGGCCCGCCGCCUCCCGCGAGCCGCCACCGCCGCCGCUUCGCUGCCCCGCUGCCCCGCGAGCCCUGCCGCCCGAGCCCCGCCUCGCCGGAGCCACGCCGGAGGUACCUCGCCGCCGUUCGUUUUAAAAAAAACAAUCUGGUUUUUUUAGAAAAACCCUAGCCUGUUUUUUUUUCUUUUUCGCGGAUGUUCGUUCGAACGUUCGUUUUAACGAACGGUUUUCUCCCGUUAGUUACAGACAACGAACGCUCGUUCGUUAGCCUGUUCGUUAGUUUCCUUUUAUCAGAUUAUUCCGCGAUUAUUUGUGAUCGCGAUUUCUGAUCCGAUUUUCGUUCUAGUUUAUAUUUUCGCUCGUUUAUCGGAAUCAGGCGAUUCAAGCGCCUAGAUCUUCGUCUCGAGACCUUCUUUCCGCUUAACCAACUUGCAAAAAUAUUUGCUACUGUAAAAUUUGACCUAGGUCCAGAUUAGUAAAUGGAUCUUGUUUCUUUCGCCGUUUGAGUUUCGUUGCUCCGUUUGAUUUGAUUCUUUUUGCAAACCGGAGUUCUUAAGUUGCACUUUCUGGUUAGAUCUUCUUAUUUGAGAUUUACCUAUGUUUCUUAGCUUGAUUGCUUAUGUAAGUUAUUGUUUGUUUACGAUAGAAUUCCUGGAGUGCGAAGCGUGUUAUUUGGAGUCUCUAGGUUACGCGGAUCGUCAGCAAGGCAAGUAACACUUUGAUCAUAUCCCUUUAUCACCCAGUUUUUAUGCAUUAGUUCCAAUCCUCAAACAUUGCAUGGUUAGGAUGUCAUUAACAUGUGGGUUGGGAAGUAGCUGAUGAGGUAGAACCUAUUACCCUGUUACAUUCAAACCCCUGGGAGUUACUUCUACGCGUUGCUUAUAUUUCUAUGUUAUGCUCGUAGACGCGGUUUGGGUGAGUGAAAUCCAUGACAGAUGUGAGAUUGUUAAUUAGUGGUUCAACUUAAGGUGGCAACUUAAAUACACAUCUUGGUGGAUUGAGGCACCUGGAGUACCCAGUGCUGCCUGUAUUUUUGGAAAUCCCGGAGUACCCGUGUGAUCUUCCUAUGGACCGCCACCCAGGCUCAAAGGGAGUUGAUAUUAUUCAUGCUAGAAACUGACGUGUGCAGCCACAAGCUAUAAUGGGCUCUAGCAUAGUUGAGUAAGUUACGUGAAGCUCUUAAAGAGGUCGUGUGCAGCCACAAGCUAUUAUGGGCUCUAGCAUAGUUGAGUAAGUUACGUGAAGCUCUUGAAGAGGUGGAUCAGCAGGUAGUGGGUUUGUAGGUUUGGUAUGGUCUGCCCGGAGUAGAGAGUUAAUGUUCUGAAAGACUGUGUCUCGGUAAUCCGUUUCUCAAACACCCUGUAGUGAGAGAAAACCAAUGGAGGAGAUCGAGUCUUGUGGGGAAAAGUGCGCAAACCUCUGCAGAGUGUAUAAACUAAUCAUGGUUAGCCAUGUCCCGGUUAUGGACAAUCUUGAAUAUCUAGUACUUGGAGUAUCUUAAGUAUCUCAUCACCCUAAAAAUAAUAUUGUUGGGUUGUUAAUCACCUUAAUUGGGAUUGAGUUGGAGGAACCUUCUCAAUGAUGUUUCAACUACCAUGAUAGUUAAGUUAAACUCUAUUCCUUUGUCAUAGGGAAAAAUUGGCUUUUCGCAAAACUAUAACCAUAGAGCUUUCCACCAGCCAAAUAUGCAUGUAGUGAUAGCAUUAUUCCGUUCCUGCUCUACUGUGUUAUUUUGCUAGCAUAUUCCAUGUGUUGACCCGUUUUCGGGCUACAACGUAUGAUGUUGCAGACUUUUCAGACGAGGAGUAAGGUUCGUUAGGUCGUUGCCGUGCAGCUCAGCUAUGCCGUUGGAGUUGAUGGACUCACUUUAUCUUCCAAGCCUUCCGCUAUUAUCGUUUUAGAUGGCCUUAAGCCAUAUUUAUUGUAAUAAGUUCUCUUUGGAGACAUUCGAUGUAAUAAGUGUGUGAUUGCAACUCUGUUAUAAAUCCUCGAGUACUGUGUGUGUCAGCAUUACCGAUCCAGGGAUGACACUGAAGCACAGAGACUUGACCGUUUGAGGUCGGGUCGCUACAAGAUGGUAUCAGAGCACACGCUGAUUGUAGGACACGACCACUAAGCUAAAGCCAUAGAUCACUAUUCUCUUCUCACUUCUGACUCCUCUCCAUUUUCUACUCUUUAGGAUGGCGGACGCAAGGAACAAGUUUGCACAACCGGAUGAAGAAGCACCUUUUGGACGACACCUGAAGGAAGUCACUAGGUACCCGAACAUAGGAAUACCAAGCUUCACCGGGACCUACAACGCCACUUUGCCGGAAGAGGAGCGAUGGAUGAUUCAAGUUCAAGUUCCAAGAAGGACCUUCAUGCCAGUCACUAAACCUAUAGAGUUUUCCUUCGACGCACCAACCUGUAGUUUAGGAAAGAGUAUGGCAACUCACAUCACCAUGGGACGCAUUGGAGAAGUAUAUCACAAGGAUCUUAAGGACACUAUCUACCAGAUAUGUGGGCGCCGAGACGAGCAAUGGGAGAUGAUCAGUACCAAGAAGGAUAGAUCAAUUGCAGCUUUCAUCUAGGAGUUAAACCAGCACAUUCGACGUCAGGAGAAUCAGAUGUGCUCUGACAUGAUAGAUUUGAAGAAGGUGAAGACAAGGAUCAUCGAUCUGGAAGAAGAACUUAAGUCUACAAGCGAUGGAUAUGAGGAGGAAAUUGCGACACUACUGGAGAAGAAUGAUGACCUGAUUAAGAACAUCAGAAUAUUUAUGGGAGACCCCACACCAGUAUAAGAAGAUGAAGAACCCAAGGAGAUUCGCCCAGAGGACUACAUCAUCAUCGACGACACCGACUCCGACCUUAGCGAUGAUGACUUUGAAGACGAAGUUCGAGCAGAUAUCAUGGACUCUUCAACUGAGGAAUAUUUUUAGUAGACCACCAUAUCAGUAGUAGUAUUCCACCAUGUAAAUAAAGUAGUCCGAGCACUUUUGCGAUAGUUAGAUCGAUUGUAUGCCUUGAUUGAUUGAUUGAGUGAAAUGUUUGUGUUUGUCUCAUGUGCAUAUGGGUAGUGCUUUCUCAUUAGACCUCACUCUAUUCUAAUCUCUCCCCUCUAGACCCAUCAGAUGCCUCCGAGACGUGACCCCGUAUUUGCUUUCCCACCCGAGCUCACUCAGUUCAUCCAGCAGCAGAAUCCCCUGAUGCAGUUGUUAGUUCAGAACCAAGGCAACAACAACAACAACAACAAUCCACCACCACCACCACCAAUUGACAACUUAGCCCGUUUUCUGAGGUUGCAGCCACCGGUGUUUUCCAAUAGCACCGAGCCUAUAGUAGCAGAUGAUUGGCUCCGCGGGAUUGGAAGAGAGUUAACCACUGCAGGAUGUACUGAUGCUGAGAAGGUGCGUUUUGCCGCACAUUAGUUGGAUGGACCAGCAGCAUCAUGGUGGGAGAAUUACACUGUCACCUACCCUAUAGCCAUGGUGACAUGGAACCAGUUUUAGCAAGCUUUCCGUACAGCCCAUGUCUCAACUGGAGCAAUGAGUAUGAAGAGGCGUGAGUUUCCCAACCUACGCCAGGGGAACCGUACUGUGGCUCAGUACGCGGAUGAGUUUAGCAAGUUAUCUCGCUAUGCCCCUGAUGAUGUGGACACAGAUGCUGCAAAGUAGGAGAAGUUUAUGGAAGGGCUGAAUGAUGAGAUGAGUAUGCAGUUGAUGGUGGCAACAUUCACCAACUACCAAGAGUUGGUAGAUAAGGCUCUUAUGAUUGAAGGGAAGCAGCAGCAGAUUGAGAGCCGUAAGAGGAAGUAUGGACAAGGGAGGUAUAGCUCAGGAGCUCAGCAGAAGCCUCGCCUAACCCCGAACUCGGGAGGACUUGUUCAUAACCAUGGAGGACACACCCAUAAUGGAGGGAGUAACCAUAAUCAUACUGGCCCUAGGAAUGGGAAUGGAGCAAGCAACAAUCAGAACCGCCCAAAUCCAGCCACACCCACCAAGAGAGACCUAAGCCACGUUACUUGUUUCAAGUGCGGGAAGACUGGGCACUAUGCCACGGAGUGCCCUGAAGGGAAGAAUGGAAACGGAAACUGGAGUGCUAAGCCCAACCCAUUCAACAAAGGACAAGUAAACCACGUUAACGUGGAGGAGGUUAAAGAGCAGCCAGACGCGGUUAUAGGUAAGUUUUUGGUUAAGUCAUUUACCGCUCUUGUUCUUUCGAUACUGGUGUAUCGCAUUCAUACAUAUCAAGGGAAUUCGUGGAUAAGUUUAAACUACCGACCCAAACCCUUAGGACCCCUCUGUUAGUAAGUUCACCUGGAGCAGAGUAUAUGGCUAGUCGAUGGUGUGAUCAGAUACCCUUAACCAUUGGCAACCAUGUUUUUCCGUCCAACCUAAUUAUCUUGGAGUCACAAGGGUUGGAUGUGAUAUUAGGUAUGGACUGGAUGUCAAGGUACGGAGGAAACAUUGAUUGUGUUAGUAAGUCAAUUUGUCUCACCACCUCAGAGGGAAAAAGGAUCAAGUAUAUAUCUAGGCAUGCGCCAAGAAGUAGCCAAGUAAAUACCCUCAUGGGAGUUGUUCAGGAAGAAGUGCUUGUAGUAAAGGAUUAUCCAGAUGUUUUUCCAGAGGAGUUACUAGGCAUGCCACCGGAUCGAGAUAUCGAGUUUUUGAUUGAGUUAUUACCAGGCACAGGGCCAAUAUCCAAGAGACCCUAUAGGAUGCCCGUGAAUGAUCUAGAGGAGAUUAAGAAACAGAUCAAGGAGUUAUUGGAGAAAGGUUAUAUUCAACGGAGUUCAUCACCAUGGGGAGCUCCAGUGCUAUUGGUUGAAAAGAAGGAUAAAUCCCUAAGAAUGGUUGUUGAUUAUCGGGCAUUGAAUGAAGUGACGAUUAAGAACAAGUACCCAUUGCCGAUGAUCAAUGAUCUGUUUGACCAGCUGCAAGGAGCUAAUGUGUUUUCGAAGAUUGAUCUACGAUCAGGAUAUCAUCAGUUAAAGAUACAAGAGAAGGACAUACCCAAGACGGCCUUCACCACAUGGUACGGGUUAUACGAGUAUACGGUCAUGUCGUUUGGACUGACUAAGGCCCCUGCCUAUUUCAUGAGCAUGAUGAACAGGGUGUUCAUGGAGUAUUCGGAUAAGAUUGUUGUGGUGUUCAUUGAUGAUAUAAUGGUAUAUUCAAAGGAUGAAGAGGAACACAAGGAGCUUUUGCAAUUAGUUCUCGAGAAACUCAAGGAACAUCAGUUAUAUGCCAAGUUCAGCAAAUGCGAGUUUUGAUUGAAGGAAGUCGGAUUCCUUGGACAUGUUAUAUUAGGAGAAGGUAUAGUAGUAGAUCCCACCAAGGUUCAGUCGGUCACUGAAUGGUUGGCACCCACUUCAGUUAGCGAGAUCCGCAGUUUUCUUGGACUCGUAGGAUACUAUCGGAGAUUCAUUGAGAAUUUUUCCAAGAUUGCGAAGCCCAUGACAGAAUUAUUGAAGAAGGAUACCAAGUUUAAAUGGACGGAAGAUUGUGAGGCAAGUUUCUAGGAGCUGAAGAAACAUUUGACUACAGCCCCAGUGCUGACACUGCUGGAUAUACACAAGGAUUUUCAAGUGUAUUGCGACGCCUCUCGCUUAGGACUUGGAGGUGUGCUUAUGCAGGAUGGAAGAGUUGUUUCGUGUGCCUUGCGACAACUAAAACCACACGAGUUGAAUUAUGCCACGCAUGAUUUGGAUCUAGCAGCCAUGGUUCACGCGUUGAAGACUUGGAGACAUUACCUUGUUGGAAAUCAUUGUGAUGUGUAUACGGAUCAUAAGAGUGUGAAGUACAUUUUCACCCAGAAGGAGCUGAACCUUAGGCAAAGAAGAUGGUUGGAGGUUAUAAAGGAUUAUGGCAUGAAGCUUCAUUAUCAUCCAGGAAAGGCCAAUGUCGUAGCAGACGCCUUGAGCCGGAAGAGCUAUGCUAAUACCCUAAUAAGCAUGGGAUUGCCGAAGGAGUUAGCAGAGGAUCUCCGGGAACUACGUUUGGAGAUUGUUCCUAGAGGUUUUGUUGCAACAAUGGAGGUGCAGUCUACAUUGUUGGGAAAGAUGCGAGAAGCUCAGAAGGAUGACAAAGAGAUUGCCGAGAUAAAGGAGAAAAUGAGCAAAGGAAAGGCCAAAGGUUUUCGUGAGGAUGAGCACGACACCUUAUGGUUUGAGGACCGUGUUUAUGUGCCCAAUAACGCAGAAAUUAGGAAAUUAAUACUUCAGGAGGCACAUGACUCACCAUACUCGAUACACCCGGGAACACCAAGAUGUAUUUGGAUUUAAAGGAACAUUUCUGGUGGACAGGGAUGAAGAAGGAUAUCGCCGAGUAUGUGGCCGUAUGUGAUGUAUGUCAGAGAGUGAAGGCAGAGCAUCAAAAGCCAGCAGGAUUGCUACAGCCUAUGCCGAUACCCGAAUGGAAGUGGGAUAAACUUGGCAUGGAUUUUAUCACCGGAUUACCCAGGACCAAAUCAGGAUACGAUUCUAUAUGGAUAGUAGUUGACCAUUUAACCAAAGUGGCACACUUUAUCCCAGUGAAAACAACUUAUACUAGUGCAAAGUUGGCCAAGAUAUAUAUGACUAGGAUCGUAUGUCUGCAUGGAGUUCCGAGGACCAUCGUAUCGGAUAGAGGGACAUAGUUUACCUCAAAGUUUUGGCAUCAACUGCGCCAGACCUUGGGAACCAGAUUGGAGUUCAGUACAUCAUUUCACCCGCAGACAGAUGGACAGACCGAGAGAGUCAACCAGAUUCUGGAGGACAUGUUGAGAGCCUGUGCGCUAGAUUAUGGAUCUAGUUGGGAUGACAAUCUGCCUUACGCAGAGUUCUCAUACAACAAUAGUUACCAAGCCAGUCUGAAGAUGGCACCGUUUGAAGCUUUGUAUGGCCGAAGGUGCAGAACGCCAUUGAUGUGGGAUGAAGUUGGAGACCGACAGUUGUUUGGACCAGACUUGAUCAAAGAGUCUGAGGAGAAGGUUAAACUGGUCUGGGAUAGACUGAAGAUAGCCCACUCCAGGCAGAAGAGUUAUGCAGAUUCGAAACACAAGGAGGUAACCUAUGAAAUUGGAGAUAGAGCAUAUUUGCGAGUAUCACCUUUGCGGGGAGUGAAACGUUUUGGAGUUAAGGGAGAGUUAGCCCCGAGAUUUGUAGGACCAUAUCGUAUUUUGGAACGGAUGGGGAAGUUGCAUACAAGUUGGAGUUACCCGAAGGACUGUCAGGAGUUCACGAUGUGUUUCACAUUUCCCAGUUGAAGAAGUGCCAUGCUGAGAUGGCCGACAUACCACUAAGAGAUACCGUACCCAUGGAGGUGAUUCAGUUGGGCAAUGACUUGACUUAUGAAGAGAAGUCAGUCAAGAUUUUGGAGUUUGCCAGUCGAGUCACCCGCAGCAAGGUUAUUAAGUUUUGCAAGGUUCAGUGGAGCCAGCAUACCGAGGACGAAGCCACAUGGGAACGAGAGGAUGAUCUCCGCAAGGACCACCCACACCUAUUUUCUAGCCAACCCGAAUCUCGAGGGCGAGAUUCAUCUUAAGAGGGGUAGGUUUGUAACAUCCCAAAUUUUCAAUUUGGAAUGUUAUACAUAGAUCAUUCUUGCAUAUCAUGUUUUAUUGCAUUUCAUCUUGUGAUCCUCGAAAUCCUAAGCAACUCAAGGACCCUUGGAGAGAGUUGGGGAUUUCCCAGAUUUCAUAUUUGAUUUUUAUCAAAUAUUGAAACAAGGAAUUUUGAUUUUAAUUAUUUUUCUCUUUGAAAAUAUUUCAUAUUAAAAUAUAUGAGAGGAGAUAAUAUGACUUCUCCAAAAUAAUGUAAAUAGUGGAGGAAAAAUAUUAAAAUCAAAUAUUUGAUUUUAUUUGGAUUUUAUUUGCAUUAGAAAAAUUGCACCUUUUUAAAAUUGCAUUUUAGGGCCAAGAAAAUGUUCAUCUCGUUCUAAAUAUUUUAUUUAGACGGAGAAAAUUUGUUUUGCCAUUUUUAGAUUUUUAUUUUAUUUUCUAGGAUUUUUCUUAGUUUUGGCAAAAAUAUUUAAAAAAAAGGUUUCCGGACCCAGCUGGGCCGAAGCCCAACCGGCCCGGCCCGGCCGUCUACCUCGCGCGCGCGCCGCCGUGCGUAGCUCGGACGCCGAGGGGAGUCCGAGACGGACUCCUCCCCGGGCGCCCCCUCGCCCAAGCAAGUCGCCGCCCCCGCCCCCUUUAAUGGCCGCCGCCGAGCCCCGCCACCACCACCACCCCGCCGCCCCGNNNNNNNNNNNNNNNNNNNNNNNNNNNNNNNNNNNNNNNNNNNNNNNNNNNNNNNNNNNNNNNNNNNNNNNNNNNNNNNNNNNNNNNNNNNNNNNNNNNNNNNNNNNNNNNNNNNNNNNNNNNNNNNNNNNNNNNNNNNNNNNNNNNNNNNNNNNNNNNNNNNNNNNNNNNNNNNNNNNNNNNNNNNNNNNNNNNNNNNNNNNNNNNNNNNNNNNNNNNNNNNNNNNNNNNNNNNNNNNNNNNNNNNNNNNNNNNNNNNNNNNNNNNNNNNNNNNNNNNNNNNNNNNNNNNNNNNNNNNNNNNNNNNNNNNNNNNNNNNNNNNNNNNNNNNNNNNNNNNNNNNNNNNNNNNNNNNNNNNNNNNNNNNNNNNNNNNNNNNNNNNNNNNNNNNNNNNNNNNNNNNNNNNNNNNNNNNNNNNNNNNNNNNNNNNNNNNNNNNNNNNNNNNNNNNNNNNNNNNNNNNNNNNNNNNNNNNNNNNNNNNNNNNNNNNNNNNNNNNNNNNNNNNNNNNNNNNNNNNNNNNNNNNNNNNNNNNNNNNNNNNNNNNNNNNNNNNNNNNNNNNNNNNNNNNNNNNNNNNNNNNNNNNNNNNNNNNNNNNNNNNNNNNNNNNNNNNNNNNNNNNNNNNNNNNNNNNNNNNNNNNNNNNNNNNNNCCCGCCUCGCCGGAGCCGGAGCCACGCCGGAGGUACCUCGCCGUCGUUCGGUUUUCUAAAAAAAACCAAUCUAUUUUUUUAGAAAACCCCUAGCCUGUUUUUUUCGGUUCGCCGGUUUUUUCCCGGUUUUUCUUUUUCACGGACAUUUGUCCGGACGUUUGUUUUAACGAACGGUUUUUGCCCGUUAGUUACAGACAACGAACGCUCGUUCGUUAGCCUGUUCGUCAGUUUCCUUUUAUCGGAUUAUUCCGCGAUUAUUUCUAAUCGCGAUUUCUGAUUCGAUUUUUGUUCUAGUUUAUCUUUUCGCUCAUUAAUCAGAAUCAGGCGAUUCAAGCACCUAGAUCUUCAUCUCAAGACCUUCUUUCCGCUUAAUCAACUUGCACGAGUUUUUGCUACCGUAAAAUUUGACCUAGGUCCAGAUUAGUAAACGGAUCUUGUUUCUUUCGUCGUUUGAGUUUCAUUGCUCCGUUUGAUUUGAUUUUUUUUGCAAACCGGAGUUCUUAAGUUGAACUUUCUGGUUAGAUCUUCUUCUUUGAGAUUUACCCAUGUUUCUUAGCUUGAUUUCUUAUGUAACUUAUUGUUUGUUUAUGAUAGAAUUCCCGGAGUGCGAAGUGUGUUAUUUGGAGUCUCUAGGUUACGCGGAUCGUCAGCCAGGCAAGUAAAACUUUGAUCAUAUCCCUUUAUCACCCAGUUUUUAUGCAUUAGUUCCAAUCCUCAAACAUUUCAUGGUUAGGAUGUCAUUAACAUGUGGGUUGGGAAGUAGCUGAUGAGGUAGAACAUAUUACCCUGUUACAUUCAAACCCCUGGGAGUUACUUCUACGCGUUGCUUAUAUUGCUAUGCUAUGCUCGUAGACGUGGUUUGGGUGAGUGGAAUCCAUGACAGAUGUGAGAUUGUUAAUUAAUGGUUCAACUUAAGGUGGCAACUUAAAUACACAUCUGGGUGGAUUGAGGCACCUGGAGUACCCAGUGCUGCCUGUAUUUUUGGAAACCCCGGAGUACCUGUGUGAUCUUCCUAUGGACCGCCACCCAGGCUCAAAGGGAGCUGAGAUUAUUCAUGCUAGAAACUUAUGUGUGCAGCCACACGCUAUUAUUGGCUCUAGCAUAGUUGAGUAAGUUACGUGAAGCUCUUGAAGAGGUGGAUCAGCAGGUAGUGGGUUUGUAGGUUUGGUAUGGUCUGCCCGGAGUAGAGAGUUAAUGUUCUGAAAGACUGUGUCUCGGUAAUCCGUUUCUCAAACACCCUGUAGUGAGAGAAAACCAAUGGAGGAGAUCGAGUCUUGUGGGGAAAAGUGCGCAAACCUCUGCAGAGUGUAUAAACUAAUCAUGGUUAGCCAUGUCCCGGUUAUGGACAAUCUUGAAUAUCUAGUACUUGGAGUAUCUUAAGUAUCUCAUCACCCUAAAAAUAAUAUUGUUGGGUUGUUAAUCACCUUAAUUGGGAUUGAGUUGGAGGAACCUUCUCAAUGAUGUUUCAACUACCAUGAUAGUUAAGUUAAACUCUAUUCCUUUGUCAUAGGGAAAAAUUGGCUUUUCGCAAAACUAUAACCAUAGAGCUUUCCACCAGCCAAAUAUGCAUGUAGUGAUAGCAUUAUUCCGUUCCUGCUCUACUGUGUUAUUUUGCUAGCAUAUUCCAUGUGUUGACCCGUUUUCGGGCUACAACGUAUGAUGUUGCAGACUUUUCAGACGAGGAGUAAGGUUCGUUAGGUCGUUGCCGUGCAGCUCAGCUAUGCCGUUGGAGUUGAUGGACUCACUUUAUCUUCCAAGCCUUCCGCUAUUAUCGUUUUAGAUGGCCUUAAGCCAUAUUUAUUGUAAUAAGUUCUCUUUGGAGACAUUCGAUGUAAUAAGUGUGUGAUUGCAACUCUGUUAUAAAUCCUCGAGUACUGUGUGUGUCAGCAUUACCGAUCCAGGGAUGACACUGAAGCACAGAGACUUGACCGUUUGAGGUCGGGUCGCUACAAGAUGGUAUCAGAGCACACGCUGAUUGUAGGACACGACCACUAAGCUAAAGCCAUAGAUCACUAUUCUCUUCUCACUUCUGACUCCUCUCCAUUUUCUACUCUUUAGGAUGGCGGACGCAAGGAACAAGUUUGCACAACCGGAUGAAGAAGCACCUUUUGGACGACACCUGAAGGAAGUCACUAGGUACCCGAACAUAGGAAUACCAAGCUUCACCGGGACCUACAACGCCACUUUGCCGGAAGAGGAGCGAUGGAUGAUUCAAGUUCAAGUUCCAAGAAGGACCUUCAUGCCAGUCACUAAACCUAUAGAGUUUUCCUUCGACGCACCAACCUGUAGUUUAGGAAAGAGUAUGGCAACUCACAUCACCAUGGGACGCAUUGGAGAAGUAUAUCACAAGGAUCUUAAGGACACUAUCUACCAGAUAUGUGGGCGCCGAGACGAGCAAUGGGAGAUGAUCAGUACCAAGAAGGAUAGAUCAAUUGCAGCUUUCAUCUAGGAGUUAAACCAGCACAUUCGACGUCAGGAGAAUCAGAUGUGCUCCGACGUGAUAGAUUUGAAGAAGGUGAAGACAAGGAUCAUCGAUCUGGAAGAAGAACUUAAGUCUACAAGCGAUGGAUAUGAGGAGGAAAUUGCGACACUACUGGAGAAGAAUGAUGACCUGAUUAAGAACAUCAGAAUAUUUAUGGGAGACCCCACACCAGUAUAAGAAGAUGAAGAACCCAAGGAGAUUCGCCCAGAGGACUACAUCAUCAUCGACGACACCGACUCCGACCUUAGCGAUGAUGACUUUGAAGACGAAGUUCGAGCAGAUAUCAUGGACUCUUCAACUGAGCAAUAUUUUUAGUAGACCACCAUAUCAGUAGUAGUAUUCCACCAUGUAAAUAAAGUAGUCCGAGCACUUUUGCGAUAGUUAGAUCGAUUGUAUGCCUUGAUUGAUUGAUUGAGUGAAAUGUUUGUGUUUGUCUCAUGUGCAUAUGGGUAGUGCUUUCUCAUUAACCUAGAGCCCAGUGCCAGUUUCUGUUUUUUUUCUUGUUUUAGAGUAUCGCAGAAAAGGAAAAUCAAACGGAGUCCAAUUGACCUGAAACUUCACGGAACUUAUUUUGGAAGGAAAGCAAACUGGGAGACUUGGAGUCCAUGUAAGGGAAGCAACGAGGAAGCCACGAGGCUGGGGGUGCGCCCACCGCCCCUGGGCGCGCCCUCCACCCUCAUGGGCCCCUCAUGGCUCCCCUGACGUACUUCUUCUGCCUAUAUAUCUCCAUAUACCCUAAAAACAUCUGGGAGCGCAAUAGAUCGGGAGUUCCGCCACCAGAAGCCUCCGUAGCCACUGAAAGCCGAUCUAGACCCGUUCCGGUGCCCUGCCGGAGGGGGAAUCCCUCUCCGGUGGCCAUAUUCAUCAUCCCGGUGCUCUCCAUGACGAGGAGGGAGUAGUUCUCCAUCGGGGCUGAGGGUAUGUACCAGUAGCUAUGUGUUUGAUCUCUCUCUCUCUCGUGUUCUUGAUUUGGCACGAUCUUGAUGGAUCGUGAGCUUUGCUAUUAUAGUUGGAUCUUAUGAUGUUUCUCCCCCUCUACUCUCUUGUAAUGGAUUGAGUUUCCCCUUUGAAGUUAUCUUAUCGGAUUGAGUCUUUAAAGAUUUGAGAACACUUGAUGUAUGUCUUGUCAUGCGUAUCUAUGGUAACAAUGGGAUAUCACGUGAUUCACUUGAUGUAUGUUUUGGUGAUCAACUUGCGGGUUCCGCCCAUGAACCUAUGCAUAGGGGUUGGCACACAUUUUUGUUGUGAUUCUCCGGAAGAAACUUAGGGGCACUCUUUGAGGUUCUAUGUGUUGGUUGAAUAGAUGAAUCUGAGAUUGUGUGAUGCAUAUCGUAUAAUCAUACCCACGGAUACUUGAGGUGACAUUGGAGUAUCUAGGUGACAUUAGGGUUUUGGUUGAUUUGUGUCUUAAGGUGUUAUUCUAGUACGAACUCUAGGGCUGUUUGUGACACUUAUAGGAAUAGCCCAAUGGAUUGAUUGGAAAGAAUAACUUUGAGGUGGUUUCAUACCCUACCAUAAUCUCUUCGUUCGUUCUCCGCUAUUAGUGACUUUGGAGUGACUCUUUGUUGCAUGUUGAGGGAUAGUUAUGUGAUCCAAUUAUGUUAUUAUUGUUGAGGUAACUUGCACUAGCGAAAGUAUGAACCCUAGGCCUUAUUUCCUAGCAUUGCAAUACCGUUUACACUCACUUUUACCAUUAGUUACCUUGCUGUUUUUAUAUUUUCAGAUUACAAAAACUAUUAUCUACUAUCCAUAUACCACUUGUAUCACCAUCUCUUCGCCAAACUAGUGCACCUAUACAAUUUACCAUUGUAUUGGGUGUGUUGGGGACACAAGAGACUCUUUGUUAUUUGGUUGCAGGGUUGCUUGAGAGAGACCAUCUUCAUCCUACGCCUCCUACGGAUUGAUAAACCUUAGGUCAUCCAAUUGAGGGAAAUUUGCUACUGUCCUACAAACCUCUGCACUUGGAGGCGCAACAACGUCUACAAGAAGAAGGUUGUGUAGUAGACAUCAAGCCCUUUUCUGGCGCCAUUGCCGGGGAGGUGAGUGCUUGAAGGUAUAUCUUUAGAUCUUGCAAUCGAAUCUUUUUGUUUCUUGUUUUAGCACUAGUUUAGUUUAUAAAAGAAAAUUACAAAAAAAAUGGAAUUGAGUUUGUCUCAUACGCUUCAUCUUUUUAAUAUCUUUCUUGAGUAUCAUGGAAAGGAAAAUUGUUCCGAAGUGUUAGAAGAAUAAUGCAUUAAAAUGUUUGGCACUAAAUAUUUGAAUGAUGAGCAUGAUUGCAAUGUUGUUAGUAUGAAUUCCUUGAAUAUUCAUGAUGCUAAUGAUAUGCAAAGCCACAAGCUUGGGGAAGCUAUAUUUGAUGAAGAUGAUAUUUUUUUGUCCCCCAUGUUUUGAUGAGCAAAUUUAUUAUGAUGAAAUGAUGCCUCCUAUUUAUGAUGAUUAUAUUGAUGAAAGUGGAUUUGGAUAGGUCAUAACUUUAUUUUGUGAUGAAUCCACUAUCCCGGAAGAGAUUCCAAUUGAUUAUGAGAACAAAGUUGCUAUCUAUGAUGAUUAUUGUGAUGACUUGUAUGCUAUAAAGAAUAAUGAUAUCCAUGAAACUUGUCAUCAUGAUUUUAGUUUUCAAUUGGAUUAUGCCUCACAUGAUAGUUAUUUUGUUGAGUUUGCUCCCACUAUUAUUCAUGAGAAGAAUUUUGCUUAUGUGGAGAGUAGUAAAUUUUCUAUGCUUGUAGAUCAUGAAAAGAAUGCUUUAUGUGAUAGUUAUAUUGUUGAAUUCAUUCAUGAUGCUACUAAAAAAUAUAAUGAGGGAGGAAUAUAUGCUUGUAGGAAUUGCAAUAAUAUCAAGUUUCCUCUCUAACUGGUUAAAGUUUUGAAGUUAUGCUUGUUUUACCUUCCUAUGCAAGUUGAUUCUUGUUCCCACAAGUUGUUUGCUCACAAAACCCCUAUGCAUAGGAAGUGGGUUAGACUUAAAUGUGCUAGUCAUAUUAUUCAAGAUGCUAUCUUUAUGUUUCAAUUCUUAUCUUUUAUGUGAGCAUCAUUGAAAUCAUCAUGCCUAGCUAGGGGCGUUAAACGAUAGCGCUUGUUGGGAGGCAACCCAACUUUAUUUCUAUUCCUUGCUUUUUGUUCCUGUUUAGUAAUAAAUAAUUCAUCUAGCCUCUGUUUAUAUGUGGUUUUAUGCUUUUAAUUAGUGUUUGUGCCAAGUAGAACCGUUGGGAAGACUUGGGGAAUGUCUUGUUGAUCUUGCUGUAAAAAACAGAAAAUUUAGCGCUCACGAGAUUUGCUGCAAUUUUUUACUGGAGAUUGCUAUUUAGUUAAUUAUUUUUGAAGAUGAUUAAUAGACAAAUUACUCACGUCCAGAAAUUUAUUUGAGAAUUUUAUGAGUUCCAGAAGUAUACGUUUGAUCCAGAUUACUACAGACUGUUCUGUUUUUGACAGAUUCUGUUUUCAUUGUGUUGUUUACUUAUUUUGAUGAAUCUAUGGCUAGUAAAAUAAUUUAUAAACCAUAGAGAAGUUGGAAUACAGUAGGUUUAACACCAAUAUAAAUAAAUAAUGAGUUCAUUACAGUAACUUGAAGUGGUGUUUUGUUUUCUUUCGCUAACGGAGCUUACGAGUUUUCUGUUAAGUUUUGUGUUGUGAAGUUUUCAAGUUUUGGGUAAAGAUUCGAUGGACAAUGGAAUAAGGAGUGGCAAUAGCCUAAGAUUGGGGCUGCCCAAGGAACCCCAAGGUAAUAUUCAAGGACAACCAAAAGCCUAAGCUUGGGGAUGCCCCGGAAGGCAUCCCCUCUUUCGUCUUUGUUCAUCGGUAGCUUUACUUGGAGCUAUAUUUUUAUUCGCCACAUGAUAUGUGUUUUGCUUGGAGCGUAAUUUUAUUUUCUUUUUCUUUGCUUGCUGUUUGAAUAAAAUACCAAGAUCUGAAAUUAUUAAAUGCUAGAGAGUCUUCUCAUAGUUGCAUAAUUAUUCAACUACUCAUUGAUCUUCACUUAUAUCUUUCGGAGUAGUUUGUUGUUUGCUCUAGUACUUCACUUAUAUAUUUUAGAGCACGGUGGUGGUUUUAUUUUGUGGAAAUAGAUGAACUCUCAUGCUUCACUUAUAUUAUUUUGAGAGUCUUUAGAACAGCAUGGUAGUUUGCUUUGGUUAUGAAACAAGUCCUAAUAUGAUGGGCAUCCAAGAGGGAUAUAAUAAAAAAUUUCAUAUAAGUGCAUUGAAUACUAAGAGAAGUUUGAUACUUGAUGAUUGUUUUGAGAUAUGGAGGUAAUAAUAUCAAAGUCGUGCUAGUUGAGUAGUUGUGAAUUUGUGGAAUACUUGUGUUGAAAUUUGCAAGUCCCGUAGCAUGCACGUAUGGUAAACCUUGUGUAACAAAUUUGAAACAUGAGGUGUAAUUUGAUUGUCUUCCUUAUGAGUGGCGGUCGGGGACAAGCGAUGGUCUUUUCCUACCAAUCUAUCCCCCUAGGAGCAUGCGCAUAGUGCCGAGGUUUUUGAUGACUUGUAGAUUUUUGCAAUAAGUAUGUGAGUUCUUUAUGACUAAUGUUGAGUCCAUGGAUUAUACGCACUCUCACCCUUCCAUCAUUGCUAGCCUCUUCGGUACUGUGCAUUGCCCUUUCUCACAUUGAGAGUUGGUGCAAACUUCGCCGGUGCAUCCAAACCCCGUGAUAUGAUACGCUCUGUCACACAUAAACCUCCUUAUAUCUUCCUCAAAACAGCCACCAUACCUACCUAUUAUGGCAUUUCCAUAGCCAUUCCGAGAUAUAUUGCCAUGCAACUUUCCACCGUUCCGUUUAUUAUGACACGCAUCAUCAUUUCCAUAUUGCUUAGCAUGAUCAUGUACUUGACAUAGUAUUUGUGGCAAAGCCACCGUUCAUAAUUAUUUGAUACAUGUCACUCUUGGUUCAUUGCAUAUCUCGGUACACCGCCGGAGGCAUUCAUAUAGAGUCAUACUUUGUUCUAGUAUUGAGUUGUAAUCAUUGAGUUGUAAAUAAACAGAAGUGUGAUGAUCAUCAUUUUCUAGAGCAUUGUCCCAAGUGAGGAAUAAUAAUAAAAAUAGAGAAAAGCCAUAAAAAAGAGAAGGCCCAAAAAAAUAGAAAGGCCAUAAAAAAGAGAAGGCCCAAAAAAGAGAGAAGGGACAAUGCUACUAUCCUUUGCCACACCUGUGCUUCAAAGUAGCACCAUAAUCCUCAUGAUAGAGAGUCUCUUGUUUUGUCACUUCCAUACACUAGUGGGAAUUUUUCAUUAUAGAACUUGGCUUGUAUAUUCCAACAAUGGGCCUCCUCAAGUGCCCUAGGUCUUCAUGAGCAAGCAAGUUGGAUGCACGCCUACUUAGUUUCUUUUGUUGAGCUUUCAUACAUUUAUAGCUCUAGUCCAUCUGUUGCAUGGCAAUCCCUACUCCUUGCAUUGACAUCAAUUGAUGGGCAUCUCCCUAGCCCAUUGAUUAGCCGCGUCGAUGUGAGACUUUCUCCUUUUUGUCUUCUCCACAUAACCCCCUCAUUUUAUUCUAUUCCACCCAUAGUGCAAUAUCCAUGGCUCACGCUCAUGUAUUGCAUGAAGGUUUAUAGGUUUGAGAUUACUAAAGUAUGAAAAAAUUGCUUGGCUUAUCAUCGGGGUUGUGCAUGAUGAGAGCAUUCUUGUGUGACGAAAAUGGAGCAUGACUAAACUAUAUGAUUUUGUAGGGAUGAACUUUCUUUGGCCAUGUUAUUUCGAGAAGACAUGAUUGCUUAGUUAGUAUGCUUGAAGUAGUAUUGUUUCUAUGUCAAUAUUAAACUUUUGUCUUGAAUCUUAUGGAUCUGAACAUUUAUGCCAAAAUAAAGAAGAAUUACUUAGAUAAAUAUGAUAGGUAGCAUUCCACAUCAAAAAUUCUGUUUUUAUCAUUUACCUACUCGAGGACGAGCAGGAAUUAAGCUUGGGGAUGCUUGAUACGUCUCCAAUGUAUCUAUAAUUUUUGAUUGUUCCAUGCUAUUAUAUUAUCAACCUUGGAUGUUUUAUAUGCAUUUAUAUGCUAUUUUAUAUGAUUUUUGGGACUAACCUAUUAAUCUUGAGCCCAAUGCCAGUUUCUAUUUUUUUCCUUGUUUUAGAGUAUCGCAGAAAUGGAAAAUGAAACGGAGUCCAAUUGACCUGAAACUUCACGGAACUUAUUUUUGGAAGGAAAGCAACCCGGGAGACUUGGAGUCCACGUAAGGGAAGCAACGAGGAAGCCACAAGGAAGGGGGUGCGCCCACCCCCCCUGGGCGCGCCCUCCACCCUCGUGGCUCCCUUGACAUACUUCUUCCGCCUAUAUAUCUCCAUAUACCCUAAAAACAUCCGGGAGCACAAUAGAUCGGGUGUUCCGCCGCCAGAAGCCUCCGUAGCCACCAAAAGCCAAUCUAGACCCGUUCCGGCACCCUGCCAGAGGGGGAAUCCCUCUCCGGUGGCUAUCUUCAUCAUCCCGGUGCUCUCCAUGACGAGGAGGGAGUAGUUCGCCCUCGGGGCUGAGGGUAUGUACCAGUAGCUAUGUGUUUGAUCUUUCUCUCCCUCUCGUGUUCUUGAGGUGGUAUGAUCUUGAUGUAUCACGAGCUUUGCUAUUAUAUUUGGAUCCUAUGAUGUUUCUUCCCCCCUCUACUCUCUUGUAAUGGAUUGAGUUUCCCCUUUGAGGUUAUCCUAUCGGAUUGAGUCUUUAAAGAUUUGAGAACACUUGAUGUAUGUCUUACUCUGCGUAUCUGUGGUGACAAUGGGAUAUCACGUGAUUCACUUGAUGUAUGCUUUGGUGAUCAACUUGCGGGUUCUGCCCAUGAACCUAUGCAUAGGGGUUGGCACACGUUUUGGUCGUGAUUCUCCGGUAGAAACUUUGGGGCACUCUUUGAGGUUCUAUGUGUUGGUUGAAUAGAUGAAUCUGAGAUUGUGUGAUGCAUAUCGUAUAAUCAUACCCACGGAUACUUGAGGUGACAUUGGAGUAUCUAGGUGACAUUAGGGUUUUGGUUGAUUUGUGUCUUAAGGUGUUAUUCUAGUACGAACUCUAGGGCUGUUUGUGACACUUAUAGGAAUAGCCCAAUGGAUUGAUUGGAAAGAAUAACUUUGAGGUGGUUCGUACCCUACCAUAAUCUCUUCGUUUGUUCUCCGCUAUUAGUGACUUUGGAGUGACUCUUUGUUGCAUGUUGAGGGAUAGUUAUAUGAUCUAAUUAUGUUAUUAUUGUUGAGGGAACUUGCACUAGUGAAAGUAUGAACCCUAGGCCUUGUUUCAACGCAUUGCAAUCAAGGUUGGAAAAAGCGGUAGGCGUAAGCGGGGUGGUUGUCCUUCGCCUAGUGGCUAGGCGAUGCCUAAGCGCCAUAGGCGCGGCCUAGGCGGUAAUAUGGUUUUUACUCGAAGUGUACUUGUGAUUAUUAUAUGGGUGUUGAUAUUAAUUUAGGGCAUAUAAAUAAGUUAAUUGCCGGCUACUAACGUUGUAAUAUAACCUAUUUGGCAUAUGAGUGCAAUAUGUGGCAUGAUUUCUUGCUUGGGUAGGCACUUCCUUGCUUUCCCUGCCUAGACCUCCAUUUAUGCCCUAGGCGAGGCGUUUGGCCAUUGCCUAGCGCCUAGGCAUGCCUAAGCGGCUCCUAGGCACUGCCUUUUCCAACAGAGAUUGCAAUACCGUUUACGCUCACUUUUAUCAUUAGUUACCUUGGUGUUUUUAUAUUUUUCAGAUUACAAAUACCUUUAUCUACCAUACAUAUUCCACUUGUAUCACCAUCUCUUCGCCGAACUAGUGCACCUAUAAAAUUUACCAUUGUAUUGGGUGUGUUGGGGACACAAGAGACUCUUUGUUAUUUGGUUGUAGGGUUGCUUGAGAGAGACCAUCUUCAUCCUACACCUCCUACGGAUUGAUAAACCUUAGGUCAUCCACUUGAGGGAAAUUUGCUACUGUCCUACAAACCUCUGCACUUGGAGGCCCAACAACGUCUACAAGAAGAAGGUUGUGUAGUAGACAUCAAAUAACUCGAUGCAUCUUGUAAUAACAAGAGCAGCUGGGAAUGAAAGUAAGAAGGUUAGGUGUAAGUAUUUAUCCAUAGGGAUGUAUCGGUGGUAGGGGAUUGUAAAAGCAACGGGCACAAGGUCUCGAGAGAACAUCAGAGAGUAUCUUCGAAAUCUUCUAAUGCAGCAGGCGAUCCUCUGUAAUAGGGGGCUCUCCGGGGGGAUGCGAUCACGAGAUCCUAAUGUCAGAGUUAGCAAGUUCAUUUAACCCAAAUAGUAGAGAGAUCAGAGUCCUAGAGUAUAGGUCGAGGAAUAAAAGAUUCUAAUACCACCCAAAUGGCGACGUGGGCCCGUAAGCCACACAGCCAUGUUAGUUAAAGUUUUGUAAUGAAUAGACUCAACUUUGGCCAAGGGAUGUGGAAGGGGGAUUCCUACAGGCAGUCGGCUCUGAUACGAACUUGUGACUCCCCCGAUUCAAUCAUACACUAAUCAUACACGCAAACGUGUACGAUCGAGAUCAGGGACUCGCGGGAAGAUAUCACAACACAACUCUACAAACAAAAUAAGUCAUACAAGCAUCAUAUUACAAGCCAGGGGCCUCGAGGGCUCGCAUACAAGAGCUCGAUCAUAGACGAGUCAGCGGAAGCAACAAUAUCUGAGUACAGACAUAAGUUAAACAAGUUUUCCUUAAGAAGGCUAGCACAAACUGGGAUACAAAUAGAAAGAGGCGCAGGCCUCCUGCCUGGGAUCCUCCUAAACAACUCCUGGUCGUCGGCGACGGCCGACACGUAGUAGUAGGCACCUCCAGUGUAGUAGGAGUCAUCGUCGACAGUGGCGUCUGGCUCCUAGACUCCAUCUUCUAGUUGCAACAAGCGGGUAUAGAAAGGGGAAAAAAGGGGAGCAAAGCAACCAUGAGUACUCAUCCAAAGUACUCGCAAGCAAGGAGCUACACUACAUAUGCAUGCAUUGGUAUCAAAUGGAAAAGGGGUAGCAUAUGUGGACUGAACUGCAGAAUGCCGGUAUAAGAGGGGGAUAGCUAGUCCUAUCUAAGACUACGCUUCUGGUAACCUCCAUCUUGCAGCAGAAGAAGAGAGUAGAUGGUAAGUUAACUAACUAUCAUCGCAUAGCAUAAUCCUACCCGGUGAUCCUCCCCUCGUCGCCCUGUGAGAGAGCGAUCAUCGGUUGUAUCUGGCACUUGGAAGGGUGUGUUUUAUUAAGUAUCCGAUUCUAGUUGUCAUAAGGUCAAGGUACAACUCCGGGUCGUCCUGUUACCGAAGAUCACGGCUAUUCGAAUAGAUUAACUUCCCUGCAGGGGUGCACCACAUUUCCCAACAUGCUCGAUCCCCUUUGUCCGGACACACUUUUCUGGGUCAUGCCCGGCCUCGGAAGAUCAACACGUCGCAGCCCUACCUAGGCACAACAGAGAGGUCAGCACGCCGGUCUAAAUCCUAUGGCGUAGGGGUCUGGCCCAUCGCCCAUUGCACACCUGCACGUUGCGUACGCGGCCGGCGAGCAGACCUAGCCUCCCUUAUACAAGAGCAGGCAUUCCAGUCCAACCCGGUGCGCGCCGCUCAGUCGCUGACAUCACGAAGGCUUCAGCUGAUACCACGACGUCGAGUGCCCAUAAUUGUUCCCGCAUAGUUGGUUAGUGCGUAUAGGCCAGUGGCCAGACUCAGAUCAAAUACCUAGAUCUUGUUUAGCGUGUUAUUUUGAAAUAACCGCAGACGCCGACCAUGGCCAGGCCCACCUCUCUCCUAGGUGGUCUCAACCUACCCUGUCACUCCGCCACAAAGAUCCACUCAGAGGGUUGUCGGGACAAACGUCCUUUCGGACCCAAUCCAUGAAUCACUCGCGGGUACUCUACGAGCCAACCCGACUUUAGUCACAACAGGUAUCAUAUAAUAUGUAUAAGUAUAUACCCGUGAUCACCUCCCGAGUGAUCACGACCCGAUAGUAUAGCAUGGCAGACGGACAAGAAUGUAAGGCCACUAAUGGUAAACUAGCAUCCUAUACUAAGCAUUUCGGAUUGCAGGUAAGGUAUCAAUAAUUGUAGCAACAAUGAUAGGCUAUGCAUCAGGAUAGGAUUAACGAAAAGCAGUAACAUGCUACACUACUCUAAUGCAAGCAGUAGAGAGAAGAGUAGGCGAUAUCUGGUGAUCAAGGGGGGGGCUUGAUUACUAUCCGUCGUAUCUACUUUUCCAAACACUUUUGCCCUUGUUUUGGACUCUAACUUGCAUGAUUUGAAUGGAACUAACCCGGACUGGCGCUGUUUUCAGCAGAAUUACCAUGGUGUUAUUUAUGUGCAGAAACAAACGUUCUCGGAAUGACCUGAAACUUCACGGAGUAACUUUUUGGAAAAUAUAAAAAUUACCUGCAAAAGAUGAAGGCCAGGGGGCCCACCACCUGUCCAUGAGGGUGGGGGCGCGCCUACCCCCAGCGCGCCCCCCUACCUCAUGGGUCCCCUGGAGCUCCUCUGACUCCAACUCCAACUCUAUAUAUUGUGCUUCGGGGAGAAAAAAAUCAAAGAGAAGAAUUCAUUGCGUUUUACGAUACGGAGCCACCGCCAAGCCCUAAAACCUCUCGGGAGGGCUAAUUUGGAGUCCGUUCGGGGCUCCGGAGAGGGGAAUAAGUCGCCAUCGUCAUCAUCAACCAUCUUCCAUCACCAAUUUCAUGAUGCUCACCGCCGUGCGUGAGUAAUUCCAUCGUAGGCUUGCUAGACGGUGAUGGGUUGGAUGAGAUCUAUCAUGUAAUCGAGUUAGUUUUGUUAGGGUUUGAUCCCUAGUAUCCACUAUGUUCUGAGAUUGAUGUUGCUAUGACUUUUCUAUGCUUAAUGCUUGUCACUAGGGGCCGAGUGCCAUGAUUUCAGAUCUGAACCUAUUAUGUUUUCAUCAAUAUAUGAGAGUUCUUGAUCCUAUCUUGCAAGUCUAUAGUCACCUAUUAUGUGUUAUGAUCCGUUAACCCCGAAGUGACAAUAAUCGGGAUACUUACCGGUGAUGACCAUAGUUUGAGGAGUUCAUGUAUUCACUAUGUGCUAAUGCUUUGUUCUGGUACUCUAUUAAAAGGAGGCCUUAAUAUCCCUUAGUUUCCAUUAGGACCCCGCUGCCACAUGAGGCUAGGACAAAAGAUGCCAUGCAAGUUCUUUUCCAUAAGCACGUAUGACUAUAUUCGGAAUGCAUUCCUACAUUACAUUGAUGAACUGGAGCUAGUUCUGUGUCACCCUAGGUUAUGAUUGUUACAUGAUGAACCGCAUCAGGCAUAAUUAUCUAUCACCGAUCCAUUGCCUACGAGCUUUCCAUAUAUUGUUCUUCGCUUAUUUACUUUUCUGUUGCUAUUGCUGUCAUAACUACAAAAUACCAAAAACAUUACUUUUGCUAUCAUUACCUUUUGCUACCGUUACCACUACUAUCAUAUUACUUUGCUACUAAACACUUCGUUGUAGAUAUUAAGUUUCCAGGUGUGGUUGAAUUGACAACUCAGCUGCUAAUACUUGAGAAUAUUCUUUGGCUCCCCUUGUGUCGAAUCAAUAAAUUUGGGUUGAAUACUCUACCCUCGAAAACUGUUGUGAUCCCCUAUACUUGUGGGUUAUCAAGACUAUUUUCUGGCGCCGUUGCCGGGGAGCAUAGCUCUAUUCCUUGAGUCACUUGGGAUUUAUAUCUGCUUAUCAUUAUGAAGAACUUGAAAGAUCCAAGAACCAAGAUUCAUCCCUCAACUACGAGGGGAGGUAAGGAACUGCCAUCUAGCUCUGCACUUGAUUCACCUUCUGUUUUAAGUAAGCUUGUGACACCUAAACCUGCUUUUGCUAUUCGUUCUGAUAUGUCGCAUGUUAUUGAUGAUGCCACUUCUGCUAUACAUGAUACUUAUGAUGAAACUACUUCUAUGCUUGAUACUAUUGUGCCACUUGGUGAAUUUCUUGAUGAACAACUUGCUAGGGCUAGAGAGAUUGAAAAUAUUGAAUCUAAUAAUACUGAUGAAAUUGAUGAUGAAGACUUGCCUGUUAUUCCUGAGGGUUAUGUUUUUGAUAAAGAAGCUUCUUUAGCUAUUUUAGCUUGCAAAGAUAGAUACGAACUCAAGAGGUUAUUAGCUAAAUGGAAUAAGCAAUCUCUAAAUGCUAGAAUGAAACCUGACCCUGCUUUUGCUACUUCACCUAUCUGUGUUACCGAUAAGGAUUAUGAAUUCUCUGUUGAUCCUGAUAUAAUUACUUUGGUUGAAUCUGAUCCUUUUCAUGGCUAUGAAUCUGAAACUAUUGUGGCACAUCUUACUAAAUUAAAUGAUAUAGCCACCCUGUUCACAACUGAUGAGAGAACUCAUUACUUUUAUAUCCUUAAAAUAUUUCCGUUCUCAUUAAGGGUGUCGCUAAGAUAUGGUUUAAUUCUCUUGAUCCUAGUUGUGUGCGUAGUCCCCGGGAUAUGAUUUAUUACUUCUCUGCUAAAUAUUUCCCUGCUCAUAAGAAACAAGCUGCUUGAAGGGAUAUAUAUAAUUUUGCGCAAAUUGAAGAAGAGAGUCUCCCACAAGCUUGGGGGAGGCUUCUCCAAUUACUUAAUGCUUUGCCUGAUCAUCCUCUUAAGAAAAAUGAAAUAAUUGAUAUCUUUUAUAAUGGACUAACCGAUGCCUCCAGAGAUUACCUGGAUAGUUGUGUUGGUUCUGUUUUCAGGGAAAGAACACCGAAUGAAGGUGAAAUUCUAUUGAAUAAUAUGUUGACAAAUGAAAAUAAUUGGACACCUUCAGAGCCAAUUCCUGAGCCUAUUCCUAAACCAACUCCGAAGAAGAGGGGUAUUCUAUUUCUCAGUCCUGAAGAUAUGCAAGAGGCAAAGAAAUCUAUGAAAGUAAAAGGUAUUAAAGAUGAAGAUGUUAAGAAUUUACCUCCUAUUGAAGAAAUACAUGGUCUUAAUUUACCGCCUCUUGAAGAAACAUAUGAUCUUAAUCCAUUACCUAUUGAAGAAACUUAUGGUCUUGAUAACCCGACACAGGUAGUAAAGGUAAAUUCUCUCUAUAGAUAUGAUAAAGCUGAAAUCCCAUUUACUAAGUUUGCUAGCCCAUGCUUAGAUGAGUUUGAUAAAUUUAUGGUUAAACAAGAAGAUUUUAAUGCUUAUUUUGGUAGACAAUUGAAAUACAAUUCAAAUAUGCUUGAACACUUGGGUGAUUAUAUGGCUAAUGGCAAAGGUGAACUUAAACUUAUUAGUAAACAUGCUUCUAUGGUUACCACUCAAGUAGAAGAAGUACUCAAAGCUCAAAAUGAUUUGCUCAAUGAAUUGAAUAGUAAAGAUAAUGAUAAUGCUGUUAGAGUUAUGACUAGAGGUGGUAAAAUGACUCAGGAACCUUUGUAUCCUGAAGGCCACCCUAAGAGAAUUGAGCAAGAUUCUCAGAGAAAUAAUAUAGAUGCACCUAGUCCUUCUAAAAGGAAGAAAAAGAAAAAUGAUAGGACUUUGCAUGCUUCUAGUGAACCUGUUAUUGAAACACUUGAGAAUCCAAAUGAUAUUUUUAUUCCUGAUGCUGAAACUCAAUCUGGUAAUGAACCUGAAACUAGUAAUAAGGUUAAUGAUAAUGUUCAUGAUGAUGCUCAACCUAGUAAUGAUAACGAUAUAGAAAUUGAACUUGUUGUUGAUCUUGAUAACCCACAAUCAAAGAAUCAACGUUAUGAUAAGAAAGACUUUGUUGCUAGGAAACACGGUAAAGAAAGAGAACCAUGGGUUCAGAAACCCAUGCCUUUUCCUCCCAAACCAUCAAAGAAAAAGGAUGAUGAAGAUUUUGAGCGCUUUGCUGAAAUGAUUAGACCUAUCUUUUUGCGUAUGCGAUUAACUGAUAUGCUCAAAAUGAAUCCUUAUGCUAAGUAUAUGAAAGAUAUUGUUACAAAUAAAAGAAAGAUACCAGAAGCUGAAAUUUCCACCAUGCUUGCUAAUUAUACUUUUAAGGGUGGAAUACCAAAGAAACUAGGAGAUCCCGGUGUACCAACUAUACCAUGCUCCAUUAAAAGAAAUUAUGUUAAAACUGCUUUAUGUGAUCUUGGAGCCAGUGUUAGUGUUAUGCCUCUCUCUUUAUAUCGUAGACUUGAUUUGAAUAAGUUGACACCUACUGAAAUAUCUUUGCAGAUGGCUGAUAAAUCAACUGCUAUACCUGUCGGUAUUUGUGAGGAUGUGCCUGUUGUGGUUGCAAACGUUACUAUUUUAACGGACUUUGAUAUUCUUGAUAUUCCCAAGGACGAUAGUAUGUCUAUUAUUCUUGGAAGACCCUUUUUGAAUACUGCAGAGACUGUUAUUGAUUGCACUAAAGGCAAUGUCACUUUUCAUGUUAAUGGCAAUGAGCAUACGGUACACUUUCCGAGGAAACAACCUCAAGUUCAUAUUAUCAACUCUAUUGGAAAAAAUCCAACGAUUAUAUUUGGAGGUUUUGAAUUUCCUCCUCCUACUGUCAAGAAGAAAUAUGAUAUUCUUAUUAUUGGGGAUGUGCAUAUCCCCGUUGAGGUAACAUAGUGUUAUUCGAAAUUUCUUCGGUUCCAUGUUAUUCCUAAUGAGUUCGUUAACAAGACUUGAUCAACCUUGUUAUUGGAUUCCUUUUGAUGAGCAUGAGAUGAAUGAAACUAGAAGGCACAACCUUCUGUACCCUCCUUUUACUUUCUGUUAUUUAUAUUAAAUAAAAUUAAAAUAAAUAUUUUUCUGUUUGUUAUCUGAUUAUCCGUGCAAUAUAAAAAUACCCCGAAAAUAAAAGUUCUCCAAAUGCCCUGAAAUUUAAAUAUGAUUUUUUUUCUAGAAUAUUUGAGAAUAUUUGGCACUGAGAACACAACAGGGGGGUCAACCACCUGCCCACGAGGGUGGAGGGUGCACCCUACCCCACUGGGCGCCCCCCUACCUUGUGGGCCCACGGUGGCCCUCCUCCACUUAUCCUUUCACCCACACACUCCUUCUUCCUCCCCCAAACACGAAUAUCCAGCUCAAACCCGAGUCCAAGCUCAUUUUGUGUGACGCCCCAAUUUAAUCGUACACUAAUCAUACACGCAAACGUGUACGAUCAAGAUCAGGGACUCACGGGAAGAUAUCACAACACAACUCUACAAAUAAAAAUAAGUCAUACAAGCAUCAUAUUACAAGCCAGGGGCCUCGAGGGCUCGAAUACAAGAGCUCGAUCAUAGACGAGUCAGCGGAAGCAACAAUAUCUGAGUAUAGACAUAAGUUAAAACAAGUUUGCCUUAAGAAGGCUAGCACAAACUAGGAUACAAAUCGAAAGAGGCGCAGGCCUCCUGCCUGGGAUCCUCCUAAUCUACUCCUGGUCGUCGUCAGCGGGCUGCACGUAGUAGUAGGCACCUCCCGAGUAGUAGUAGUCGUCGUCGACGGUGGCGUCUGGCUCCUGGUCUCCAACGUCUGGUCGCAGCAAUCGGGUAUAGGAAGUGGGGAAAGGGGGAGUAAAGCAACCGUGAGUACUCAUCCAAAGUACUCGCAAGCAAGGAGCUACACUACAUAUGUAUGCAUUGGUAUCAAAUGGACUAAGGGUAUCAAAUGUGGACUAAACUGCAGAAUGCCAGAAUAAGAGGGGGAUAGCUAGUCCUUUCGAAGACUACGCUUCUGGUAACCUCCAUCUUGCAGCAGAAGAAGAGAGUAGAUGGUAAGUUCACCAAGUAGCAUCGCAUAGCAUAAUCCUAAUCGAUGAUCCUCCCCUCGUCGCCCUGUGAGAGAGCGAUCACCGGUUGUAUCUAGCACUUGGAAGGGUGUAUUUUAUUAAGUAUCCGGUUCUAGUUGACAUAAGGUCAAGGUACAACUCCAAGUCGUCCUGUUACCGAAGAUCACGGCUAUUCGAAUAGAUUAACUUCCCUGCAGGGGUGCACCAUAUAACCCAACACGCUCGAUCCCAUUUGGCCGGACACACUUUUCUAGGUCAUGCCCGGCCUCGGAAGAUCAACACGUCGCAGCCCUACCUAGGCACAACAGAGAGGUCAGCACGCCGGUCUAAAUCCUAUGGCGCACGGGUCUGGGCCCAUCGCCCAUUGCACAGCUGCACGUUGCGUACGCGGCCGGUGAGCAGACCUAGCCUCCCUUAUACAAGAGUAGGUGUUCCAGUCCAACCCGGCGCGCUCCGCUCAGUCGCUGACAUCACGAAGGCUUCGGCUGAUACCACGACUUCGAGUGCCCAUAACUGUCCCCUCGUAGAUGGUUAGUGCGUAUAGGCUAGUAGCCAGACUCGGAUCAAAUACCAAGAUCUAGUUAAGCGUGUUAUUUUGGAAUAACCGUGAACGUCGACCAGGGCCAGGCCCACCUCUCUCCUAGGUGGUCUCAACCUGCCAUGUUGCUCCACCUCAAAGUAAUAGUCGGGGGCCGUAGGGAACUCAGGCCCACCACUACCUGGAUGGAGCCACCUGCCCCUUCAGCCCCCAUCUCCAAACAGUAUCACUGGUAAUGUAAUAGUGAAAAGUAUAUAUUAUAUGCCCGUGAUCACCUCCCGAAGUGAUCACGGCCUACUAGUAUAGCAUGCCAGACGGACAAGAGUGUAGGGUCACUGAUGGAACACUAGCAGCCUAUACUAAGCAGUAGGAUAGCAGGUAAAGGUAAUAACAGUAGUAGCAAGGACAGGCUAUGCAGCAGUAUAGGAUUAACUGAAAGCAGUAAAAUGCUACACUACUCUAAUGCAAGCAGUGUAGAGGAGAGUAGGCGAUAUCUGGUGAUCAAGGGGGGGGGGCUUGCCUAGUUGCUCUGGCAAGAGAGAGGGGUCGUCAACCCCGUAGUCGUACUGGGUAGCAGCGGCGUCGGUCUCGGUGUCUAGCAGAAGAAGAGGGGGGGAAGAAACAAUGAAUACAAUGCAAACAGAUGCAUAACGAAGCAUGACAAGGCAAGGCGUGAUGUUAGGCGUGCCCUAACACGGUAUGAGGUGAUACCGGUGAAAGGGGGAAACAUCCGGGAAAGUAUCCCCGGUGUUUCGCGUUUUCGGGCAAAGGACCGGAGGGAAAAAGUUGCGAGUUCGAUAGGUUAGGGAUGUGUGGCGGACGAACGGGCUGCGUACUCGGGUUCGUCUCGUCGUUCUGAGUAACUUUCAUGUACAAAGUAUUUUCAUCCGAGUUACGGUUUAUUUUAUAUGAAUUUUCAACGAUUUAAACAAUUUCUGAAAUUAAAUUAAAUACGAAACAAAUAAAAAAACAGAACACUUUUGUCACCUGGUGCUACCCUAGUAUGUGAGUAUGACAGUGGGGCCAGUGGGGUUGGGUUGACCCAGUCAAAGGUUGACUAGUCAACAUAUGAAUAGUGUAAGUGGGUCCCGCGUGUCAUUGUCUUUAGUUUUAAUAAAAUGGUAAUUAACCAGGGGUGGUCCCACAUGUCAUUGUUUUAAUAAUUUCCAAAAGAUCUAUCUAAUCUAAUUAGAUGGGACCCACUUGUCAUUAGCUAAUAGGCUAAAUUAGCACUAAACUACUACUAAACUAAACCUAGACUAAUUAAACAAGGGCCGGCCAUUAACCCAGCCGGCCAUACGCAUGGCCAUGUACAGGGGGCUUGGCCAGGAGCUACAGCAGCAGAUGGUAGUAGUAGCAAGCGAACCGUAGCAGCUAAUAACAAGCAGUGGCAGUAGUAUCAGCAGCACGCGGCGGCAGUAGUACACAGCGGCAGCAGCAAAGCAUCAACAGAAACAAGUAGAGCAGCCUGGCGUCCAGCAGCAGCAGUGAACGCGUGCGGAGGCAGCGGCUCGCGAGCAGCAGUAGUUCAGCAGCGAGCAACGCAGGCGCGGCGAGGAGCUGGCAAGGGCGCGCGUGGGAGGUGGCAGGGGUGUGGCCCGCGCAAGGCGGGCUCGCGCGCACGCAGUGGCGCGAGGCCACGUUUGGGCAGUCGCUCGCGGGUGCGCGGCCAGGGCACGGUCGGACGGAGCUGCAGCCACAGCGGCAGAACGACGGCCGAACAGAGGGGAAACAAGAGGGAUGAGCUUUCCAUAUAUUGUUCUUCGCUUAUUUACUUUUCCGUUGCUAUUACUAUCAUAACUACAAAAUACCAAAAACAUUACUUUUGCUAUCAUUACCUUUUGCUACCGUUACCACUACUAUCAUAUCACUUUGCUACUAAACACUUUGCUGCAGAUAUUAAGUUUCCAGGUGUGGUUGAAUUGACAACUCAGCUGCUAAUACUUGAGAAUAUUAUUUGGCUCCCCUUGUGUCGAAUCAAUAAAUUUGGGUUAAAUACUCUACCCUCGAAAACUGUUGCGAUCCCUAUACUUGUGGGUUAUCAGGUUUGCAUGGUUGCUCUGGCAAAAAUGAGGAGUCGUCGGUGAUGUAGUCGGACUCAGUGGCAACAACACCGAUCUCAGGUCUACCGGAGAAGAAAAGAGGGGAAAGAAAUAGUAAAUAUGGAGCAAACGAAGCAUCACAACACAUAACAAGGCAAUACACGGUGCUAGGGGUGAUCUAACGCAGGGAUAGGUGAUACCGGCGAAGGAGGGAAAUAUCCGGAAAAGUAUUCCCGGUGUUUCGCGUUUUCGGAUAGAUGAACCGGAGGGGGAAAGUUGCGUGUUUGCUAUGCUAGGGGUGUGCGGCGGACGAACGGGCUACGUAUCCGGAUUCGUCUCGUCGUUCUAAGUAACUUUUAUGGACAAAGUAUUUUCAUCGGAGUUUCGGUUAAUUUUCUAUGAUUUUCCAAAGUUUUAAGUAUUUUUUGAAAUUUCUGAAUUUAUUAUAUUUAGUUAAUCCGAAUUGACCAAGUCAAUUUGACUAGUCAAAGGGCAUGUGUGGCCCACAUGUCAUAGGCUUAGAUAUUUUUAUCUAAUUUAUCUUUUAUCUAACCAUAUGGCCUAUACACUACACCUAACCACUAAUUAGCCUAACUACUACUAAUUAGCUACUAACCAGGGUUGGCCUCAUCCAGAGAUCUAGCCGGCCACACACACAUGGCCUCACACACACACGCUGCACCCACACACACGGCACACUACACAGGGCCGGCCAGAGGCACACAGCCGUGGCAUAGCCGGCCACACACACCACACACAUACAGCCCCCAUACACACCCAUAACACGCACGCACACUCACCACAUAGUACACUCGGCCAUGGCCGGCAUGCCAUGGCCAGUAGGCAGUAGCAGUCGCAGCCUGAGGUAGCAGGCUGCAGUAGCUCCAGCAACCAAGUAGCGCUAGCAGUGGUAUAAGGAAGGAGCAGCAGCAGCGACAACUAGCAGAUACGGCAGCAGUGGCUAGCAUCUGUAGCUCAGCAGCGGGCAACAUCAGUACUGCAGUAGUAUAGCAGCGGCAAACAGAAGCAAGGGCAGCACGCGGCAGCAAAGAGCGGCAAAGAGCAGCGGUAGGGGAGCCCAGAGCGUGCAGGGGCGGCCAGGGCGCGUGCG